rnacentral:tRNA from 1 species
GCCUUCGUCGUGUAAUGAUCAGCACGCUCGGCUUAUAUCGAGAGGUCCGUGGUUCGAGUCCCGGUGAGGUUA